GGAGAAAAGCAGGGGAUCGAAAGACCUUGCGCUCUUGGAGCGGCCGAUGCCUGAUUAGCUAGUUGGUGAGGUAAAGGCUUACCAAGGCGACGAUCAGUAGCUGGUCUGAGAGGACGACCAGCCACACUGGGACUGAGACACGGCCCAGACUCCUACGGGAGGCAGCAGUGGGGAAUUUUGGACAAUGGGGGAAACCCUGGUCCAGCCAUGCCGCGUGAGUGAAGAAGGCCUUCGGGUUGUAAAGCUCUUUCAGUCGGAACGAAACGGUCACGGCUAAUACCCGUGACUACUGACGGUACCGGAAGAAGAAGCACCGGCUAACUACGUGCCAGCAGCCGCGGUAAUACGUAGGGUGCAAGCGUUAAUCGGAAUUACUGGGCGUAAAGCGUGCGCAGGCGGUUUUGUAAGUCAGAUGUGAAAUCCCCGGGCUUAACCUGGGAACUGCGUUUGAAACUACAAAGCUAG
rnacentral:rRNA from 1 species